UACGUAGGGGGCAAGCGUUGUCCGGAAUCAUUGGGCGUAAAGAGCGUGUAGGCGGCUCGAUAAGUCUGCUGUAAAAGUCCAGGGCUCAACCCUGGAAGGCCGGUGGAAACUGUCGGGCUAGAGUCCGGAAGAGGCGAGUGGAAUUCCCGGUGUAGCGGUGAAAUGCGCAGAUAUCGGGAGGAACACCAAUGGCGAAGGCAGCUCGCUGGGACGGUACUGACGCUGAGACGCGAAAGCGUGGGGAGCAAACAGG
rnacentral:rRNA from 1 species